rnacentral:rRNA from 1 species
UCCUACGGGACGCAGCAGUGAGGAAUAUUGGUCAAUGGAGGCAACUCUGAACCAGCCAAGUAGCGUGCAGGAUGACGGCCCUAUGGGUUGUAAACUGCUUUUAUGCGGGGAUAAACUGAGUCACGUGUGGCUUAUUGCAGGUACCGCAUGAAUAAGGACCGGCUAAUUCCGUGCCAGCAGCCGCGGUAAUACGGAAGGUCCGGGCGUUAUCCGGAUUUAUUGGGUUUAAAGGGAGCGCAGGCCGCCCCUUAAGCGUGUUGUGAAAUGCCGCGGCUCAACCGUGGCACUGCAGCGCGAACUGGGGG